rnacentral:rRNA from 1 species
CCUACGGGAGGCUGCAGUGAGGAAUAUUGGUCAAUGGACGAGAGUCUGAACCAGCCAAGUAGCGUGAAGGAUGACUGCCCUAUGGGUUGUAAACUUCUUUUAUAUGGGAAUAAAAUGUUCCACGUGUGGGAUUUUGUAUGUACCCUAUGAAUAAGGAUCGGCUAACUCCGUGCCAGCAGCCGCGGUACUACGGAGGAUCCGAGCGUUAUCCGGAUUUAUUGGGUUUAAAGGGAGCGUAGGUGGAUUGUUAAGUCAGUUGUGAAAGUUUGCGGCUCAACCGUAAAAUUGCAGUUGAAACUGGCAGUCUUGAGUACAGUAGAGGUGGGCGGAAUUCGUGGUGUAGCGGUGAAAUGCUUAGAUAUCACGAAGAACUCCGAUUGCGAAGGCAGUUCACUGGACUGCAACUGACACUGAGGCUCGAAAGUGUGGGUAUCAAACAGGAUUAGAUACCCCUGUAGUC